rnacentral:tRNA from 1 species
GGGGAUAUAGCUCAGUGGCAUAAGCAUCUGCCUGGCAAGCAUGAGGUCCUGAGUUCAAUUCCCAGUACCA